GUCCAACAGCCAUCCAUGACUUUGAGGGUGACCAGACUUACAGUGAAAAGCCAGGCCAUGACUUCACCCUUACAGCAUCUUUUGAAGGUUUGGAUGCUUCGAGCUAUGAUGCACUAGUGAUACCUGGAGGGCGUGCCCCAGAGUACCUUGCAUUAAAUGAUAAAGUUAUCGCAUUGGUGAAGGAGUUUAUGGCUAAUGGAAAGCCAGUUGCAUCCAUUUGCCAUGGACAGUAGAUCUUAUCAGCUGCUGGAGUUCUUAAGGGGACAAAAUGCACGGCAUACCCUGCUGUGAAGCUUAAUGUGGUGCUGGCAGGAGCAACAUGGUUGGAGCCCGAGCCCAUAGAUCGUUGCUUUACCGAUUGCAAUUUAGUGACCGGCGCAGCUUGGCCUGGGCACCCAGAGUUCAUAUCUCAGCUUAUGGCUUUGCUUGGUAUCAAGGUUACAUUCUAAUGCACGAGCCUGUUACUAUAUCUAUCUGUACAAAUGAGACUCGUAUCCCUCUUGUGUGACUUCUAAAAGUAAUGUCCAUGUAUCUACGUAACUCUGCAUGCAGUGAGUGAUCUUGCUUUUCUUCCAGGGAGUUCAGAAUGUAGUUCUAUUCUGUGAAGUAUCAGUUGCCUCUGUCAAGCCUAUCAGUUGCCUCUGUCAAGCCAAUGUCCAUUUAUGCCAAUGUAAUGCCCGUUUUGAUUGUUGUUUC